GGGCCUAUAGCUCAGUUGGUUAGAGCAGCGGACUCAUAAUCCGUUGGUCCCAGGUUCGAGUCCUGGUGGGCCCA
rnacentral:tRNA from 2 species